rnacentral:rRNA from 1 species
CACGUAGGGCGCAAGCGUUGUCCGGAAUUAUUGGGCGUAAAGAGCUCGUAGGCGGUCUGUUGCGUCCGCUGUGAAAACUCGGGGCUUAACCCCGAGCCUGCAGUGGAUACGGGCAGACUAGAGGUAGGUAGGGGAGAAUGGAAUUCCCGGUGUAGCGGUGAAAUGCGUAGAGAUCGGGAGGAACAUCAGUUGCGAAGGCGGCUCUCUGGACCAGCACUGACACUGAGGCACGAAAGCGUGGGGAGCAAACAGG